rnacentral:rRNA from 1 species
GAUGAACGCUGGCGGCGUGCCUAAUACAUGCAAGUCGAGCGAACGGACGAGAAGCUUGCUUCUCUGAUGUUAGCGGCGGACGGGUGAGUAACACGUGGCUAACCUACCUAUAAGACUGGGAUAACUUAGGGAAACCGGAGCUAAUACCGGAUAAUAUUUUGAACCGCAUGGUUCAAAAGUGAAAGACGGUCUUGCUGUCACUUAUACAUGGAUCCGCGCUGCAUUAGCUAGUUGGUAAGGUAACGGCUUACCAAGGCAACUAUGCAUAGCCGACCUGAGAGGGUGGACGCCCAGACUGGAACAGAGACACGGUCCAGACUCCUGCGGGGGGCAGCAGUAGGGAAUCUUCCGCGAUGGGCGAAAGCCUGACGGUGCAACGCCGGGUGAGUGAUGAAGGUGUUCGGAUCGUAAAACUCUGUUAGUAGUGAAGAACAUAUGUGUAAGUAACUGUGCACAUCUUGACGGUACCGAGUCAGAAAGCCACGGCUAACUACGUG